rnacentral:lncRNA from 1 species
GUCCCCCUGUCCCCGUGUCCCCAUGUCCGUCUGUCCCCGCAGAGGGCCGCUCUCUGAAGGACGAGGACGUGCUGCAGUCUCUCCCCGUGGGCACCACGGCCACCUUCUACUUCCGGGACCUGGGGGCGCAGAUCAGCUGGGUGACGGUGCGCGGCCGCCUGUCCGUCUGUCCGUCCGUGUCCCCCUGUCCGUCCGUGUCCCCCUGUCCGUCCAUGUCCCCCUGUCCAUCCGUGUCCCCCUGUCCGUCCCUGUGUCUAUCCUAUGUCCCUCUGGCCCCCUGUCCAUCCCACGUCCCUGUGUCCCUCUGCCCACCCCUGUGUCCGCCCGUGUCCCCCCUAUCCAUCGAUUGUCCUUCUGUCCGUCCCUCUGUCCAUCCCCUUGUCCAUCCUGUGUCCUUCUGUCCGCCCGUGUCCCUCUGUCCCUCUGUCCAUCCCACAUGCCUCUGUUCCUCUGUCCAUCCCUUUGUCCAUCCCACGUCUCUCUGUCCCUCUGUCCAUCCCUCUGUCCAUCCCAUGUCCCUCUGUCCGUCCCUCUCUCUGUCCAUUCCUCCAUCCUUCCCCGUGUCCCUCUGUCCAUCCCACGUCCCUCUGUCCAUUUCAUCAUCCCUGCCUGUGUCCCUCUGUCCAUCUCUCCAUCCUUCCCUGUGUCCCUCUGUCCAUCCCACGUCCCUCUGUCCAUCCCUCCAUCCCUCCCCGUGUCCCUCUGUCCAUCCCGUGUCCCUCUGUCCGUCCCUCUCUCUGUCCAUUCCUCCAUCCUUCGCUGUGUCCCUCUGUCCAUCCCACGUCCCUCUGUCCAUCCCUCCAUCCCUCCCCGUGUCCCUCUGUCCGUCCCUCUCUCUGUCCAUUCCUCCAUCCCUCUCCGUGUCCCUCUGUCCAUCCCACGUCCCUCUGUCCAUUCCUCCAUCCCUACCCGUGUCCCUCUGUCCAUCCCGUGUCCCUCUGUCCGUCCCUCUCUCUGUCCAUCCCUCCAUCCCUCCCUGUGUCCCUCUGUCCAUCCCACGUCC